GACGAACGCUGGCGGCGUGCUUAACACAUGCAAGUCGAACGGUGAAGCGCCGUCCUUUUUGGUGGGUGUGGAUGGGCGGCGAACGGGUGAGUAAGACGUGAGUAACCUGCUCCCUUCUUCUGGAUAACCGCAUGAAAGAGUUGCUAAUACGGGAUAUAUUGAGCCUGUCGCAUGAUGGGUCUGGGAAAGAUUUUGUUUCGGUUGGGGAUGGGGCCGCGGCCUAUCAGCUUGUUGGUGAGGUGAUGGCCUACCAAGGCGGUGACGAGUAGCCGGCCUGAGAGGGUGGGCGACCACACUGGGGAUGAGACGCCGACACGACUCCGGGAGGCAGCAGCAGGGAAGAUUAUGGAAUGGUGGGAGGCAGGCCGGUGCAGCGCCGCGGCGGGGGGGAUGGUGGCCGGCGGGUAAUGAACUGCUUUCGGGAAUGAACCAAGGUUGAAGUGUCUAUGGGUGUGUUGACGGUACCUAGUCAGGAAGCCACGGCUAACUACGUG
rnacentral:rRNA from 1 species